rnacentral:rRNA from 1 species
GACGAACGCUGGCGGCGUGCUUAACACAUGCAAGUCGAACGGAAAGGCCCUGCUUUUGUGGGGUGCUCGAGUGGCGAACGGGUGAGUAACACGUGAGUAACCUGCCCUUGACUUUGGGAUAACUUCAGGAAACUGGGGCUAAUACCGGAUAGGAGCUCCUGCUGCAUGGUGGGGGUUGGAAAGUUUCGGCGGUUGGGGAUGGACUCGCGGCUUAUCAGCUUGUUGGUGGGGUAGUGGCUUACCAAGGCUUUGACGGGUAGCCGGCCUGAGAGGGUGACCGGCCACAUUGGGACUGAGAUACGGCCCAGACUCCUACGGGAGGCAGCAGUGGGGAAUAUUGCACAAUGGGCGGAAGCCUGAUGCAGCAACGCCGCGUGCGGGAUGACGGCCUUCGGGUUGUAAACCGCUUUCGCCUGUGACGAAGCGUGAGUGACGGUAAUGGGUAAAGAAGCACCGGCUAACUACGUGCCAGCAGCCGCGGUGAUACGUAGGGUGCGAGCGUUGUCCGGAUUUAUUGGGCGUAAAGGGCUCGUAGGUGGUUGAUCGCGUCGGAAGUGUAAUCUUGGGGCUUAACCCUGAGCGUGCUUUCGAUACGGGUUGACUUGAGGAAGGUAGGGGAGAAUGGAAUUCCUGGUGGAGCGGUGGAAUGCGCAGAUAUCAGGAGGAACACCAGUGGCGAAGGCGGUUCUCUGGGCCUUUCCUGACGCUGAGGAGCGAAAGCGUGGGGAGCGAACAGGCUUAGAUACCCUGGUAGUCCACGCUGUAAACGGUGGGUACUAGGUGUGGGGUCCAUUCCACGGGUUCCGUGCCGUAGCUAACGCUUUAAGUACCCCGCCUGGGGAGUACGGCCGCAAGGCUAAAACUCAAAGGAAUUGACGGGGCCCCGCACAAGCGGCGGAGCAUGCGGAUUAAUUCGAUGCAACGCGUAGAACCUUACCUGGGUUUGACAUGGAUCGGGAGCGCUCAGAGAUGGGUGUGCCUCUUUUGGGGUCGGUUCACAGGUGGUGCAUGGCUGUCGUCAGCUCGUGUCGUGAGAUGUUGGGUUAAGUCCCGCAACGAGCGCAACCCUUGUUCACUGUUGUCAGCACGUUAUGGUGGGGACUCAGUGGAGACCGCCGGGGUCAACUCGGAGGAAGGUGGGGAUGACGUCAAGUCAUCAUGCCCCUUAUGUCCAGGGCCUCACGCAUGCUACAAUGGCUGGUACAGAGAGUGGCGAGCCUGUGAGGGUGAGCGAAUCUCGGAAAGCCGGUCUCAGUUCGGAUUGGGGUCUGCAACUCGACCUCAUGAAGUCGGAGUCGCUAGUAAUCGCAGAUCAGCAACGCUGCGGUGAAUACGUUCCCGGG